CCCUUAGACGUUCUGGGCCGCACGCGCGCUACACUGACCAGUGCAACAAGCAUCCGUCCUUGGCCGACAGGCCCGGGCAAUCUUUGAACGCUGGUCGUGAUGGGGAUAGACUUCUGCAAUUUUUGGUCUUCAACGAGGAAUUCCUAGUAAACGCAAGUCAUCAACUUGCAUUGAUUACGUCCCUGCCCUUUGUACACACCGCCCGUCGCACCUACCGAUUGAAUGGUCCGGUGAAGCCUCCGGAUUGGCGCGCACCUCGGUGCCGCCGAGAAGUUGGCUAAACCUUACCAUUUAGAGGAAGGUGAAGUCGUAACA
rnacentral:rRNA from 1 species